UUAAACUCUCCUCAGUGCUCAGUCCUGGCCUCUCUUGUUUCUCAAGUCUUGACCGUGAAGCGUGAAGCACCAGACCUGUCCGCUCGUCAUGUCGAUUCCCUUCCUUUUUUCUCCUGAUUGCUCUUGUACUAGCUCACCAUUGUUGCCAGUACUUUUCUAUUUAGUUUUUAUUGUGAAAACGUGGGCAUAAGUUUGGGUUCUUUAUUGUUUCUUUAAAUUUUGAGAAAAUUAUUAAGUUUAUGUUCAAUUGAUACGGAAAUGAUGCGUUAUCAAUGAACUAUCUGAACUGCAAUUCAGUUGAUAGCCAAAUUCUAGUAAGAUCUGGAAAAUGUUCUCUGAUAUGAAAAUAAUGAAUUGUCAGCAAGCUGCAUGUACUCUUCACAUUCAAUUUUACAUGCGCUGUCUUCCAUUCUUACAUGGAUGCUUAGCAUUGGCUUAGGAUUCAUACGAUGAGCUCUUCCUUGGGAUUCAGGGGAUAUCAGAUAAUUGGAGAAAAUUAAUUAAUUCGUCCUUAUUUGUGAUUCUUUUCUUCUAGUGGCUUAUUCUUUUUUCUUUUUCUUUUUUUUUUUUUCUUUCAGGAAAUGGGUUGAUGACAUUAAGCAAUUAGCAAAGGGGCUGGGAGAGAACUUCACUGAUAGAGAUGGUUGAUGAAGCUGACCCAGAUUGUAAGUUAUUCUGCUUUUGUCCUGGAUUCAGUUUGCAGAACUCUUAGUAGUGGUGUGUUGAAACUGUAUUCACGAGGAAUUACUUAUUUUUUUCAUUGUUGUAGUUUGUUGAAAUUUGCACUCUUCUUAAUAAAAACAAAACUUUACUCAUUUUAACGUCUGAAGAUUAUUUGCUAGAAAAUAAAACUAAUAAUUACAGGCUCGAAAUUGUUGAAACUAUAAUAGAACAUUUUGACAAAAAUUACUUUUAUAGGAAUUAUUUGAGAACUGAAAGUGAAACAGUGAAAAACUAAGAAUAUUAUUGCUCACAGUCAUAACAUACAUAGAUGAUAGAACACAUAAAACAAUUGAAAUCUACUCAUCAGCAGUUGAAUCUAAACCCAUUUCAGACAAUUGUUCUUCUACAUGUUGUUCUUUUGGUUGUUCAAAUAAGCUGUGUUUGUUUGUGUUAAUCACUACUCGAAAUAGGAGUGGAAAUUGAAAAAAUAUAAAGAAAGUAACGGGGAUUGUGGAAAGAAUAGUGAGUGGAAUGUCAAUCCAAGAUAAUCGUUUUUGGAGCAGAAUAAAAAUGCUAGAGCCAAAGGCUAUCAUCAUGGUUACUACAGAGAAGAAAAGAGUAGAAAGGCCAAUGAUUAGUUUUCUGGGUAAGGACUUGAGGAAAUCUUUCUCUGCAUAACGUGAAGUGAGGAUACCAAGAAAUAUUAGCACAGAAGUAUUAGACAAGAAGAGUGAUAGUGCAUUUGUAAUGACAAAUAUUAGAAAUGCAUCAUAACCCAAGAAUAUAGGAAUGCCUGUGUCAUUUUUGGUGCCACCAGGAAUUGUAAAAGCUGUUGUGAACACAACGGUGGCAAUGAGAGCAGCCACAACCAUACAUGAAGCUGUGGUAUUCUUCAUCCAUCUUUCACCUUCUUUCAUCAACUCCGCAUGUUCCUUGGUGAAUAAAGUGCUAGGUGUAUGACCAUUUUCAUUAGUUCUUUCCAUGAACUUUGUUGGUACCAUGCUUUGUAUUUCCUAGGGCAAAAAAAAAAAAGUUCUUUUAAUCAAGUUAAUCUAGAGCCAAUUUGGAAUAUUGCUAUUUGAACUAUCAUUAAAAAAAAGGUUGGAUGCGUAAUUUGUCAUUUCACUUUUUUACAAAAAGUUAUUUUAUCCUCUUAAUUUUAUCUUCAUUUUAUUUACACCAACUUUCAAAUUGUGAAUAACUUAAUCCUACAAUGCAAGUGAGAGUAUAUAUCAUCCCCUUCACUUUUUCAAUUGUGAAAUAACUUAUUUCCGAUGUUGUGGGUGCUAAUGAAUAUCACCCUCCUGUUGCAGUGAUUAAGUUAUUCUAUAGUUUGAAAGUUGAAGAGGCAAAUAGAAUAAAAAUAAAGUUGAGGAGAUAAUGUGAUUUUUAGUGAAAAGGUUAGUGGGUAAAUUAUGCAUUUGGACAAAAUAAGAUCUUACAUAUAGAAAAAAAAAAGUUUAUGUUAAUUACAUGAUUUUAAUUCAAUUCAAAGUGCUUUAGUUAUAAGAACAUAGAAAGGGGUGCCUUUUUAAAAGGUGGAUUCAACAUGCAAUAUCAACCUGGCCAUUAAUUUAUAAAUUUAAAAUCUAGAAGGAAAAUUUUAAAUAUAAAGAUUACCUUAAACCAUUGUAAUUCCUUUUGCAUUUGUAGAGCUGCACCAGGGACCCGAUCGAGUUGAAAGGAAGGGGACAGCUUAGCCGCCAUAUGUAAGAAGUUAUUUGAAAAUACAUCUCUUUUUGUCACUAUUGUGCGACGUUUUGCCCCCAAUCCAUAGAUAAGGCUAAAAAUUUUUUCUUGGCGAAGUAGGAUUGCAUAUGCAAAUAGUGUUCUUCCCUUGUUAUCAACUCUCCAUACUAAUUCAGGGUUAGAUUUGAUUAGCUCCUGGAUAAACUCAACUAGACCAUUCUUUAUUGCAUCAUAAAUUAUUAAAUUAAACCUAAGAUUCCUGAGUUCUUCGUUUCCUAAUGUUGGUAUUUCCUUGAGUAGCAAUUUGAGGAGUUGCAAGGCUUGAGCAUGUCUCUUCUUCAUAUCUUUUAUUCUUUCAGGGACUACAAUUACAUGAAAAAGUUGAGAGAUCAAUACAAUAAUGAAUGUUUGAUUGAAUGUUAAUUGAUUAAGUAGUUGAUGGCUUACCAAGAUGUUUUAGGGAUCUCCAAAGCAGUGCGUGCGCUAAGUUGACAACUGUAAGAAAAAUACCAUAUUUAUAAUAAUAUUUUAGUUUGAAUUAAUAUGAAAAUGAAUUACUAUUAUUACUAUGAUACAACUUAUUAUAUUUCUAGAGUCAUUUAGGAUAUACCUUGUUUUCUUGUGCUUGUUCCACAACUUGAACCUUGCUUCCUAUGCGUUUGGACAUUCUCUUCAUCUUUGGGCUUUGCGGGGUUAAUAUCAUCUUGAUAGGGUUCAGGAACACCUUUCAUGCCAUUUUAUACUUAUGUUUUAGCUAUUUUUAAAGCAAUGUAUGGACACGUAUUCACUUUUGUACUUACAUGAGUAUAACCAUUGGUUCCAAAAUCCAAGUGUACUUCCACUCAGAAAUGCUGAAGUUUUAUUAGCCAGCAAACUUAUAGAUAAAUUUCUAUGAAAAUCCUCCAUAAAACCAAGUCUUCGGUACUCCUUCUCCUUCAACAGAUGCAGUGCUUCAUCUUUAUUAACAAAUUAUAAAACAAUUAUAAAUUAGGGUAUCAAAGAUAUAAACAAAAUUAAUUAAAUUUAUAUAACUUCAAGAUGCUAAAAGAUAUUAAUAAGUUUUAAAUUCGAAUGUAAAUUUAAGUUUUAAAAUUAGAAAUAUACCACUAAUGGUGGCUACGGGAAUCAAAUAGGCCCAAUUUUACAUCAAAUCCAUUAAUUUUGGUCUCUAAAAUCGAGAUUCAAGCAGGGGCAGAGCCAUGGCGGCAUAUUCUAAGCAAUUAACGAGUCAUGUGCUGAGAUUAGAGGAGGCUAUAAGAGGUGACUUGUUUGACCCCUAAUGGCAGAAUUGUUGUUUUCAAAAACAGGCCCCUAUAGGGCUGCAUCCUUUUGUGAAGGAUUGAAUCCCUAACAAGUUGAAAAGAGAGGAAAGGAAUGAGAAAUGAAAGAAACAACAGAAAAAGAAAGGGGGAGAAGUGAGAGAAAGAGAGUGACAAGAAGAAAGAUUGAUUAGUAUUGAUAAUUCUCAAAAAGCCUUGCAAGAUAGCUUCUUCUGAGAUAUAUAGGUCUCAAUAACUGCCCUAACAGAAUCAACUACAGUUAUAGCAGAAUCAGCUACUACUGUUAACAUCUUUCAACUACUUAACUAUCGGAGACCACCCUAACUAUUUUAUUAAUUCCACGUGUAAUCGCCAACCCUCUUUACUCUCCUUACUGGUCAUAAUAUUCCCCACUUCUUGAAAUCAUUAUUGUCCUCAGGAAUGAGUAAUAGAAACUGCAACACCAAUAAAACUGUUGCUUUCAUAUACAGUAAUUGAGCAACAGAAUUCAACAGACAAAAGCCAAAAGAAUCAAAACGUUGAAUUGGGUUUUUUUUUCCUGCACCAUAGGAGAUGAUUUUUUUUCCUUGCCUUCUUGAUAUUUCCUAUUCGUCCUCCAUAGAAAGUAAGAAAUCAUAGGAUAGAAUCCACCCUCUUUCCAUUUUAGCUGAACAAUAACCACAUUAGAGAGCUUUGACAACCCUGUUCUGUUUUCUCCUUAUCAACAGAUGCAUACUAAAACUCAAAUCUCUUUUCCUCGAAAAAAAAAAGACAACCGCCUUCACAUGUUUUUCUCUUCAGCUGAGUUGAUUGUCCUAUAUAUCCAUCAAAUCAAGAUUACUUUCAUCUAAUGUUGUAUUUAGUAGUGGAUGCUUGGCCCAUAGGAAUUGCAAGAUAAUGGCCAUGCUGAACCAGGCUGCUUGAAUUUACAUGGCCAGCUUCUGAAAUGUGUCCAAGCUUCGAAUCUUGAGAACUUAGAUUUUCAAGGAAAGCUUUAGAAAUGUUACCAUCCUCAAAACGUAGAUUAUUCUCAUCAUUUGCAACAUAAGCAUCAUUCUCAAAGCUUUGCUGAAUCAAAUUUUCAAGAAUUUGAAAUUUUGGUUCCUUCUUUUGAACCAACUUCUUCUCAUCUCCAUUCCCAUGAAAACUUUUCUUGUCAUCAAGAGAAACAGUCUCCUUAUUCUCGCUUGCCUUAGUCUUUGCAAAUUCCCUGCCAGUACCCCGGGAAGUUUCCAUUUCAUGGUUUCUUUCUUCUUCUAUAUCUUCAUCAUUCUUCUCCUUAGUGUCCUCUCUUACACUAAAUAUAUUAGCAAGAAAAUCUUGCUCCAUUUCAAUAAUGCCCUUGUCAUUCUUAUUGGGAGUUUUACUUGGAGCAUCUUGGUCUUCAUUUGGCUUGUUGGAAUUUCCAAAAAGGUAAUCUUGUCAGUUUUCCGUUCACUGACAUCAGUUUUCUUAGAUUUUCUCCAUUACCAAUCCCCUCGUCUUGCAUUCUCUUAAGAUGUUAAAGCACAUCCAAUAGGAUCUUUUGUUGCCAAGGUUGUAGUUCAUUGGACUGAUUGUAGCAGUGGUAGGUAAUAUCUCUUUAGCAUUCUGACACCAAACAGAGAAGUGGCCUUUGAAGCUUUGUAAUUGAUGAAUUACAAAAGGAAAAUGUGUUAGAUUUGUGAUUCAUAAUCUAGUGGGAUACUCUUUCCUAAGUAGAGUGUUAGAGUGGAGGAUUUAUUCCUCAACAGGUGGAGGACUAUAAAAGGUAGAUUUGUUGUUUAUAUGUUAUCCUUUGAAUAAGUUUCUUAAUUAGUUAGGACUAAAGGGUUUAAUGCUAUAAAUAGAGGUAUGGUUGAUAGAUUAUUUGGCUCUUCCCAAUCGAAGAGAAAGGCUUUGUUAUUUUUUCAGGUGCCCAGAACGCUAGAGGGGAGAAGCAAACCGAACCUCUAAUCGACUUAUGUACAUGUUCCUGCGGCUCGGAUGAGUAUUCUUGUUUAUAUCGCUACGACUAUCAACACUUUCUUUUUCCUAUCAACAAAACAUCCCCUUUUUCUUCGCUCUUCCGGAACCGGUGCAGAAAUGGGUGCUUUUUUUACGUUGUUUACCUUAGUUACUGGGGGGUCUUAGGGAAGAACUAUGUGGGGAACCUUUUGGGUGUGUGAUGCUCAUUUAACUUCUGUAUUCAUCUCGUUCCUUAUUUACCUGGGUGCAUUGCAUUUUCAAAAGCUUCCUGUCGAACUGGCUUCUAUUUCAAUCUGUGCCGGACCGAUGGAUAUACCGAUAAUCAACUCUUCAGUCAACUGGUGGAAUACAUCGCAUCGACCUGGAAGCUUUCUCUCAUACCAAUUUUUAAGGAUUGAAUCCCUGUUCCCUAACAAGCCAGAAAGAGAGGAAAGGAGAGAGAAACAGAAGAAACAGCAGAGAGAGAAAGGAGAGAAUUGCAGAGUAGACAGAAUUAGAGAGAGAGAGAGAGAGAGAGAGGAAGAAAGAAUGAUUGAUUAGUAUUAAUUUGUAUUUUCCUUAUUAAUCAUAACACCUUUUUUAUUUAUUUAUUUUUUAAUAAGCUAAUUUUUAUGAUUAAAAGUGGAAAAGCGUAACAGAAUAAGCCAUACUAAUCCAGGAUCUGGACAUCUUUUAGAUGGUUGUUUUCUCUUAAGCUUCUCUUGCAAGUCUUGAGCAAACUCAUCGUUGUUCUAGACUUUUUCUCUGCUUCUUUCACUAGUUUUCUUCUAUAUAGAUUUUCAUCAUGGUCCCCGUUUGCAAUAUAAUAGGCUCAUAGUUUGUCAGUUUUCAUCUGUAUAGUUUCUUAUCAUUGAUCUCUAAAGAAUUGGCCCAAUUAUUAAGGGGGAUGGCUCCACCCCUAGAUUCAAGAUCAGACCUAUUAGAAUUCUUUUAAUUCUAAUUCUAUACCUAUACUGAACUAUAAAUAAGCCUUCCUAAGAGAUUAUUAAAAAUAUUACAUUGAAAUAAUUUUGGUGUAAGAAAAGAACAGAGUGGCAUACCAUAAAGUCCAUCAGAGAUGAAGCAGUUUAGAAGUGUAGCACCAUUCUUAUCACCCCUUAGUGGACUGAGAUACUGAAUGGGAGUUUUCUCAAGAAGAUAAUGUAUUGUUUCUCUUUGGUCAAAUAAUGAAGCUUCGACGAUUGGAAGACGGCCAUCAUAAUCAUUUCCUUUGGUAACCAAAUUUUUAUUCUUUGCCAACAUCACCUUCAUCAUAUCUAUCCUUCCAUUCAAGGCUGCAAGAGUAAAGGCUGUAUUGCCAUAAUUGGAUGUCAUUUCCAAGUCUUCUUCUGACAUUAACUUCACCAACUGUUCUGCAAUCUUCCAUUUUCCAGACAAUACAGCCACUUGAAGAGCAUUAAGACCCAUCAAUGAUAUCUUUUUCCUAACAUCAUUAGGAUUCUUUGAUAGCCAUUCUUCAGCUGUAUUCCAAUCUCCCUUUUCUAUUGCUUUGCAUAGGGUUUUGUAUUGAAGGAUGCUUGAUGUUUCUACAAUAACAUAUGCAUAUUAUAUUUAAAAAGAAGAAUUCCCUUAUAUAUAUAUAUUUGUGUGUGUGCAUAUGUAUAUAUAUCUGUAUUUGUUGAUUAUCAAAAUGGAAAAUUUUUUAAAAUUUAAAUAGCAAGUACCUUCUUCCUUGUAAUGCUUAACCUUGGAGGGCUUCUCGGCCAGGUGCUCCCAAACAAAUUUGGCGGAAUCAACUUCACUGGGAUACUUCCUCAUCAAAUUUGAAAUGGUGUCUUCCUCACAAGAAUUUUCAAUGGCAUGUAAAGCCAUAGCAUUCUUCUUGAUCCAAUCCUUGUAGUUGGGAUCAUUUGCUUGGGGUUUUUCUUCCUCUCCAAACACUAUGCUCCCCAAGUCUUGACCGAUCAGGUAAUGUUUCAUGCAUUCUUUCCAAUUCUCAAAAUUAGCUUCCAUUCGCUUUUUGAUGACAAGGCUACCAAAUCCACUAGUAUUUGUUGUUGCCAUGGCUACUAGGUCAAAAUUCAAAUAUAUAGUUAUUUUCUUUUCAUCAUUCUUAACAAGCUUUUAUCUUUAGGGAAAAUUACUAUUUAAUUUUUGUUGUAUGAUGAAUCUAACUUGUUAGUCCCUGUGGUUUUAAAAAUAUACUAAAUGCUCCCUAUGGUUUUGAAAACUCAAUUAAAAGGUCUCUCCUGUUAAAUUUUGACAGAAAAAUAAAUAGUAAUUUUGUGAUACGACAAAAAAUAAAUAGUAAUUUUUCCUUAUCUUUAAAAUGUAAGCAAAUAAAUAAAUAAAUGAAAGCUAAAUACCAAAAUAGGCGAUUGAUUACAAAAGGCAGCAUUGUUCUAAUUAUGUCUUUAUGAACUAAGGAAAAUUAUAAGAAUUACUAAAUUAGGAAUAAAACUAAAUGCACCCAUUAUCUUACCAAAUUUGGAGAGAUGAAUAAGUUGUCCUAAGCUUCCAGCUGUUAAAUGCCUUUGGACACAAUGGAUUCAGAGAGGCCAUAUAUAUAUUUAUAUACAAAAUCAAUGUAGCUCUUAACUAUGUAUUGAUAAUGGACAUUUUUGUUGAUGUUAUUCCCUUUUCCAUAACCUCAAAAGAAAGUUAUCCUUACUGUUUAUGGAAUUUUCUUUUUUUUUUUUCUUACUUUGUAUUUCUAAUGAAUUAAUAUAUUAUAUGAGUGUUCUUUAAUUCCUUUUAUUUUUAUCAUUUAUUUUAUACUGUGUGUGUGAAAGGGAGAAAGUUUAUUGUGUACUUGCGGAUGCAGAGGGAGAUAUGAAAGGAUUUCAUGAAGAGAGAAUAACUUGCUCUUUCCAUUAUUUUUGAAUUAGAUUCUGUUCUUGUAUACAUGUGUGUGAAAGGUAGAAAGUUUAAUGAUAAAUUAGAACCUAUUAAUAGAAAAUUAAUGGAAAGAAUUUACUUUUGAGAUAGAAAGAAAUGUGAAAAAUUUGAUGAAAAG
rnacentral:lncRNA from 1 species